rnacentral:rRNA from 1 species
GAUCAUGGCUCAGAACGAACGCUGGCGGCGCGUUUAAGCAUGCAAGUCGAGCGGCAAGGGCCUUCGGGCCCCUAGAGCGGCGGACGGGUGAGUAACACGUGGACAAUCUGCCCCCCGGCCCGGGAUAGCCCAGGGAAACCUGGAUUAAUACCGGAUGAGACGGGACCCGCGAUGGCGGGAUCCGGGAAAGGCGCUGCGGCGCCGCCGGGGGAUGAGUCUGCGUCCCAUUAGCUAGACGGCGGGGUAACGGCCCACCGUGGCGACGAUGGGUAGCCGGCCUGAGAGGGUGGACGGCCACAUUGGAACUGAGACACGGUCCAGACUCCUACGGGAGGCAGCAGCUAAGAAUCUUCCGCAAUGGGCGAAAGCCUGACGGAGCGACGCCGCCGUGAACGAAGAAGGCCGUGAGGUUGUAAAGUUCUUUUCGGGAGGGGGAACAACCGUGGCAGGGAAUGGCCGCGGGAUGACGUGAAUCCCGGAAUAAGCCCCGGCUAACUACGUGCCAGCAGCAGC